rnacentral:rRNA from 1 species
UACAGAGGUGCCGAGCGUUAGGCGGAAUCACUGGGCUUAAAGCGUGUGUAGGCGGAUGCCUAAGUACCUUGUGAAAUCCCACAGCUCAACUGUGGAACUGCUUGGUAUACUGGGUGUCUUGAGCCACUUAGGGGCUACCGGAACAAAUGGUGGAGCGGUGAAAUGCGUAGAUAUCAUUUGGAACGCCAAUGGUGAAAACAGGUAGCUGGGAGUGUGCUGACGCUGAGACACGAAAGCCAGGGGAG